rnacentral:rRNA from 1 species
ACAGCAGUAGCCGCGGUAAUACGUAGGUGGCAAGCGUUGUCCGGAAUUAUUGGGCGUAAGGCGCGCGCAGGCGGAUCAGUUAGUCUGUCUUAAAAGUUCGGGGCUUAACCCCGUGAUGGGAUGGAAACUGCUGAUCUAGAGUAUCGGAGAGGAAAGUGGAAUUCCUAGUGUAGCGGUGAAAUGCGUAGAUAUUAGGAAGAACACCAGUGGCGAAGGCGACUUUCUGGGCGAAAACUGACGCUGAGGCGCGAAAGCCAGGGGAGCGAACGGGAUUAGAUACCCCUGUAGUCCCUGUCUCUUAUACA